rnacentral:tRNA from 1 species
GGGCCUGUAGCAUAACUGGUGAAUGCAUUCGACUCAUAAUCGACCGAGUGUAGGUUCGAGUCCUACCGGGCCCACCA